UACGUAGGCAGCGAGCGUUGUUCGGAAUUACUGGGCGUAAAGGGCGCGUAGGCGGCCUGCUAAGUCGAACGUGAAAUCCCUGGGCUCAACCCAGGAACUGCGUCCGAUACUGGUUGGCUUGAAUCCGGGAGAGGGACGUGGAAUUCCAGGUGUAGCGGUGAAAUGCGUAGAUAUCUGGAGGAACACCGGUGGCGAAGGCGACGUCCUGGACCGGCAUUGACGCUGAGGCGCGAAAGCCAGGGGAGCAAACGGG
rnacentral:rRNA from 1 species